GAUUAAAUCAUGUUAUUUAUCUGAUUAUGCUCGGAGCAGUUUCAGGGUUGUACAUGUAUAAAAUGAACAUGGUUGUUCUUAUUAGUAUCUGAGACUAACAGAUUUCAACAGAGCAAAUUUCGAAAAUGCAGACCAAAGUCCUCGUUGUUAUGUUGAUGAUUGCCAUGGUGAUGAUGGUAGAGGUCAAAGGGAGACAACUGCAAAACGAUUGUCUCGACAUCUGUCGCCGAAGAAUAGACAGAUGUAAAUCAAAUUGUAACCGGGACCACAAAAACCAAAACAAAAAGAAGAAGUGCAAGGACGUCUGUAGGAAAUCUGAUAAGCAAUGCAAAAAGUUCUGCCGCAACGACGACCCGACCGAUGAUUUUACUUACGACAUGUAAAUAAAUAAUUGGAAAACAAAACGUAAAACUAUGCAAAUACGUGUGUUCUCAAUAUAUUCGUUUCAUACUUUGAAUAAAAGCUUAUAACUAGUAA